UUCAAAGUAGUUAAAUAAUAAUAUGGGCUUUGGAGGCCUAAGUUGAUUUCCCGUAAAUUAGUUUAUAA
rnacentral:tRNA from 1 species